AACGAACGCUGGCGGCGCGUCUUACACAUGCAAGUCGAACGGCAGGAAGGGGCUUGCCCCUUCUGAGAGUGGCGGACUGGUGAGUAACACGUGGGUGACAUACCUUUUAGUUGGGGAUAGCUAUUAGAAAUAGUAGGUAAUACCGAAUGUGACCGUACCUGUUUGAGGGGUACGAGGAAAGGAGCUAAGGCUUCGCUAAAAGAAUGGCUCGCGGCCCAUUAUGCUCGUUGGUGAGGUAACGGCCCACCAAGGCGAUGAUGGGUAUCCGGCCUGAGAGGGUGAACGGACACAUUGGGACUGAGAUACGGCCCAGACUUCUACGGGAGGCAGCAGUUAAGAAUAUUCCGCAAUGGACGAAAGUCUGACGGAGCGACGCCGCGUGGAUGAAGAAUGCCGAAAGGUUGUAAAAUCCUUUUAAGCCUGAUGAAUAAGCACAGUAGGGAAUGAUUGUGCGGUGACCGUAGGGCUUGAAUAAGCACCGGCUAAUUACGUG
rnacentral:rRNA from 1 species